rnacentral:misc_RNA from 1 species
GAUGAAGAACGUAGCGAAAUGCGAUACUUGGUGUGAGUUGCAGAAUCCCGUGAACCAUCGAGUCUUUGAACGCAAGUUGCGCCCGAAGCCAUCAGGUUGAGGGCACGUCUGCCUGGGCGUCACAUAUCGUUGCCCAAUGCCUAUUGCAGUGCAAUAGGAAUUUCUAGGGCGAAUGAUGGCUUCCCGUGAGCGUUGUUGCCUCGCGGUUGGUUGAAAAUCGAGUCCUUGGUAGGGUGUGCCAUGGUAGAUGGUGGUCGAGUUAGAACGAUACCGAUCAUGUGCAUGCUCCCCAAAAUAUGGCCUCUAUGACCCACACGCGUCUUUUGACGCUCAUGACGAGACCUCAGGUCAGGCGGGGCUACCCGCUGAAUUUAAGCAUAUCAAUAAGCGGAGGA